ACACACACACACACACACAUGUUAAUACACAGAACAAUAAAUGACCAAGUAAUAAAUAAAAACAAUAAAAAAUAAAACAAAAAUAACAGGAACUGAGGAAACGAUGAAGACUGGAAAAGCAAAGAUAACAACAGAGUGAUAAAGAUCAAAUAAAAUACUAAAACAGAGGAGAUAUAUUUAUAACCUAGAAAUAAAAGGUAGGAUAUUAAAAAAAUAAAAUCGUGAAGAUAAAAUUAUCAAAUGUUAAAAGAGAAACAGAAAUAAAAGUAGAAUUAAAAUACAUAACCAGAUAUAAAAGUAGGGUAUUAAAAGGAAAACAAUCAUAGAAUAAACAUACCAGUAAAACAGCUUAAAAUAUAUAAAUAAAUAAAAAGAUAAAUAAAUUAAAUUCAAUGAAAAGACAGACGCAAAAGGUGGAAACAACUGUUUUAUCACUUAUUACAAACUUGUGUGUGUGUGUAUAUAUAUAUAUAUAAAUAAACUCACCUGUUUACAUUUUACUAAAAACUAAAGUUUUGCAUAAUUGUGGGCGCGGCCUCUUUGGGUCACAGGUGGGUGUAUUCAGUCCAUUAGUUGUCUGCUCGGGGUCACUGCAGCUAACAUGAACUGGUGAAUUUAACCUGUCCGCCAUGUUUGUGACGUUGGGGAGAAAUAAUACGUGAGGAAUAACGUGAGGAAGUCUGUCUUCCUGUUUUCUGUCUGUUUUCAGAGCAUCCACUGGAAUAAAAGGUCAAAGGUCAUCAUCUGCCAGGAGUCAGUGGAUGAUCGCAGGAUGCAGGAAUUUCACCUCUGACACCAGAGACCAUCUCCCCACAUAUACAGCUUAACCACCAACUGAUCAACUCCAUCUGCUGAGGAAGGCCAUGAGUGACUGAAAGCUCCAGAAUAUCCACUCCGCAGCCUCCUCUCAACAUCUGUCCCAGCUGCCCGGCUCAGAUCAGGAGCUGUCCAUGGUGCUGAACCUGAAAACGCCCCAUUGCCACAACUGACAUAUGCAGCCCUUCAGAAAUGCACAGUGUAGUAAAGAUCAUUAGACAAGGGAGGCAGAGAAAACAAUACAGAGCCCUUUAUCACAAGCUAUGAGCCAUUACAAGACAUUAGAAAAGCCGGCAGCCUCUAAGUAGCUGUUGCCGUGUGAAGAUUUAUAUGUAUAAUGUAUAGCUGUAUGUCAAAAACUAUCCAAUUAGUUAUUGCUCAGCUGUCUGGCAAUCAACAGGUAUCAUUGAAGGAAAGACUGGUGCUAUUUUAUUUCCAUAUUUUAGU